GAUCCUGGCUCAGGACGAACGCUGGCGGCGUGCUUAACACAUGCAAGUCGAGGGGCAGCAUGGUCUUAGCUUGCUAAGGCCGAUGGCGACCGGCGCACGGGUGAGUAACACGUAUCCAACCUGCCGUCUACUCUUGGACAGCCUUCUGAAAGGAAGAUUAAUACAAGAUGGCAUCAUGAGUUCACAUGUUCACAUGAUUAAAGGUAUUCCGGUAGACGAUGGGGAUGCG
rnacentral:rRNA from 1 species